GAAAUGCGAUAAGUAGUGUGAAUUGCAGAAUUCAGUGAAUCAUCGAAUCUUUGAACGCACAUUGCGCCCCUUGGUAUUCCAUGGGGCAUGCCUGUUCGAGCGUCAUUUGUACCCUCAAGCUCUGCUUGGUGUUGGGUGUUUGUCCCGUCUCCGCGCGUGGACUCGCCCCAAAGUGAUUGGCAGCCGGCGUACUGGUCCCGGAGCGCAGCACAUGUCGCGCAAACGAGUGCCUUGGUACGGCGGCGUCCAUAAGCCCCUCUCUCACGCUCUUGACCUCGGAUCAGGUAGGGAUACCCGCUGAACUGAAG
rnacentral:misc_RNA from 1 species